UUCAUGUGCUAGGGGUGCCUUUAGGCUGAGAGAUGAUUAUUUUAUCAUUAACCCUCAACACCUGAUCUGGAAAAUUCCAGCGUAGGGAAGCGUUUAGGGCUGUAU
rfam:Clostridium perfringens str. 13 DNA, complete genome.